GAUGAAGAACGUAGCGAAAUGCGAUAAGUAAUGUGAAUUGCAGAAUUCAGUGAAUCAUCGAAUCUUUGAACGCACAUUGCGCCCGCCAGUAUUCUGGCGGGCAUGCCUGUCCGAGUGUCAUUUCAACCCUCGAACCCCUCCGGGGGGUCGGCGUUGGGGAUCGGCCCUGCCUCUUGGCGGUGGCCGUCUCCGAAAUACAGUGGCGGUCUCGCCGCAGCCUCUCCUGCGCAGUAGUUUGCACACUCGCAUCGGGAGCGCGGCGCGUCCACAGCCGUUAAACACCCAACUUCUGAAAUGUUGACCUCGGAUCAGGUAGGAAUACCCGCUGAACUUAAGCAUAUCAAUAAGCGGAGGA
rnacentral:misc_RNA from 1 species